UACGUAGGGUGCAAGCGUUGUCCGGAAUUAUUGGGCGUAAAGAGCUCGUAGGCGGUUUGUCGCGUCUGCUGUGAAAACCCGCGGCUCAACUGUGGGCGGGCAGCUGAUACGGGCAGGCUGGAGUUCGGUAGGGGAGACUGGAAUUCCUGGUGUAGCGGUGAAAUGCGUAGAUAUCAGGAGGAACACCGGCGGUGUAGACGGCUUUCUGGACCGUAGCUGACGCUGAGACACGAAAGCGUGGGUAGCAAACAGG
rnacentral:rRNA from 1 species